rnacentral:rRNA from 1 species
UACGAAGGGUGCAAGCGUUAAUCGGAAUUACUGGGCGUAAAGCGUGCGCAGGCGGCUUUGCAAGACAGAUGUGAAAUCCCCGGGCUCAACCUGGGAACUGCAUUUGUGACUGCAAGGCUAGAGUACGGCAGAGGGGGAUGGAAUUCCGCGUGUAGCAGUGAAAUGCGUAGAUAUGCGGAGGAACACCAAUGGCGAAGGCAAUCCCCUGGGCAUGUACUGACGCUCAUGCACGAAAGCGUGGGGAGCAAACAGG